rnacentral:precursor_RNA from 1 species
AAUCUCUCUCUAUCACUUACACAAUCUUUCUCUGUCUCUCUUGGUUAUCUCCAUAUUAAGGUAAGAAGAUACGAUCUAAACUCUGGCUUGUUCUUGUUUCUAGAUUUUUCGUGCCAUCUACUUGCAUGCGGGAGGAGACCUUUAGCCUUUAAUCAUUCAUUAUAUUUUAAGAGAUGGGUAGUAUCGAAAAAAGCUUAAUCUAUUAGUUAACGCGUGGUUAAGUGAGAUUAGCAAUGUAACCUAGUUGUUAAUAGGCUGGUCCUUAAUUUUUCUCGAGUCAUGUAUAUAUUAUAUCGUUUCUUUUUCCACUCUGUCUCUCUCGAGGCGUUUUAAUCCCUAGUUUCCUUUGUAAACAUAUAAUUUAUGUCUUUUGAUUCAUGCGAUCAUAUAUUAUCUCA